GGGUUUCUACAGGGGGCGGGGGUUGGGGGGGUCUCCACCCACAAGAGAAAGUCUAUUUAAACCCCGAGGAGACCCCUCCAUUUCGUCUUCCACUGGCUG